rnacentral:rRNA from 1 species
UACGUAGGGCGCAAGCGUUGUCCGGAAUUAUUGGGCGUAAAGAGCUCGUAGGCGGCCGGUUGCGUCUGCUGUGAAAUCCCGGGGCUUAACCCCGGGCGUGCAGUGGAUACGGGCCGGCUGGAGGCAGGCAGGGGAGAAUGGAAUUCCCGGUGUAGCGGUGAAAUGCGCAGAUAUCGGGGAGACGCGGUGCGAAGGCGGUUCUCUGGACAGUUCCUGACACUGAGACACGAAGGCCAGGGGAGCAAACGGG